rnacentral:lncRNA from 1 species
AACCUCGGGCAUGGCUUAUCCAAUUUUAGGUAAAAAAAAUUUAGAAACAUACAAAACAGAGUCCCACAUCGGUAAACUUUAAAGAGGCAAGCUAAUGUAAACGCCUAUAAGUAGUCAUUCAGAGUUGGUUUCGAAAAUUGCAUCAGGGUUUCAAUCUAUAAGAAGCCCAAUAGUUUAAAUUUGUUCGGCCUUUUAGGCGGUUAAAAAUCGGUUUCAAACCGAUUAAUCGGUUAUUUGACCGACUUGUUGGUCAACCGAGUAGUUGAGCCGUAUUGGCCUUAUUCGCCGCGGUUGCUUACCGCCGAGCGCCGAGCCGGACGACGCCUACUCGGCUAGGCGUCCGAGUUUUAGAACAGGGGAGAAAAUAUAUGUAAUUUGGAAUGACCAUACAUAAACUUUAUUAAUUAAAGAGAAAUUGCAUCGAGUUGAAAAAGGAAAAACAAAAACUGUGAUGUAUAUAAUACUCGAUUUAGUCAGUAUCUGACUUUACGGAC